rnacentral:ribozyme from 1 species
UCAAGCCAUUUGGCCCAGUCCAUCGCGGAGUGUCUUUUGUGGGCAGAGUCGC